GGGCAAGUCUCCCACGGCCAGCUCCCGCUUAACCCCCCAGGGCCGGAAGGCAGCAAGGGCAGGUGGUCGUAGCGGUGCGAUGGGAAUCGCUUGCCCUCU
rnacentral:SRP_RNA from 1 species